UUUGUUUUGGCGUUUCUUCCUGGUUCGGUUUGGUUUGUUUUGUUGUUUCUUUGUCGGUUUUUUUUUUUUUCUUUUUUUUCUUCUUUUUUUCCAUUCUUCCCUUCCCUCCCCGGGCGAACUCGAAAUUCCCGGUGGCCGCCCCCGUCCCGGUGCCCGCGGAGGCGGAGGGCAGCGGGCAGGAGGCAGCGGAGCGGUGCAGCCCCCAGCCCCACACCGGGCGCUGCCCCCCAACCCCCCCCCCCCGGGAUGCAGGUAGGACGGGGAGGCGGAAUUUGGGAGUGGGGGGAGCUGGGGGAGGCUCUCUGGAGGCGUGGGAGGCAAAGCAAAGCGAUGCCCCCCACCCCCAACGCAUCUCCUCCGUUUUGGGGGGCUGCCAAGGUUUGUGGGGGGGGGGUGGGGGACACUCACCCCUUCAUUGCCAACCCAGCUCUCAAUUUUCACUCACAGACUGGGCACAGGCCCUGCUGCUGGACCCCCAUCCCCAUCUGCUGGGACCCCCAAAAUCCCCUUUUUUUCCCUCACAAUAAUCCCCCCCCAUCCCGUGCUCCCCAUCCUUAGCUGGGGGGGUGCUGUGCAUCCUUCCCGCCCGCUGUUUUUAACGUGCUUACUACACGUUUUCAGAGUGUUUUUGGAGCUAUAUUUAAAGUGUGCAGUCAGUGGCUGGAUUUAGAAAUCCAGGCAUAAAUCACAUUAAAACGCGGACGGCGACGAUCCCAACGCGUCGGCAAAGCUUUGCCCUGAUUUCAUUCCUUCCUUCCCAUCUUAAAAGCAGAACCGAGUCUGACAGCAAGGUCCCAUUCCCCCCCCACCCCCUCCCCCAAAAUUAAACCCUGUAGGGACAGAGGUGAGAUUUGAAGGCAAGGGGGGCCCUGCUGGGGUUUAUUCCGAUGCAUCCAUGGCGAUUUAUUAUCGAUGGGGGGGCUUGGAUAAUUCCAAAGCCUGGGGUCUCUCCCCACCCCAGCCCCUGUGAAGGAGCUGCCAUCCGUGGGGAGGGGGCUGUGGAGUGGGGGGUCCCAAUGAGGAGAUCCCCAGGGAAACGGUUUGGGAACUGAGCGAAGAAUUUCUGAUUAAUGACCAGAACAGCUCGGGAUUUUGGCUUUCUCCAUAAAUCCUGGCUGAUUACAACCCUUGUGCUCAGCCUGGCUUUGCAUGGAGGGGGGACCCCAAAAAGCGACCCCCGCCAGGGGCUGCACCCAGUGCCUGGCAGCAAGUGGGGGCUGCAGCAUCCUCACCAUCCCAGCCAGAGCAGGGAAGAAGGGAGAGGGGCCAGGGGGUGCACAGGGAUGAGGUUGGUGCCCUCCCCUCACUUCACAGGAGUUCUGAUCCCGAAGCUCUGGGGUUUGUAAAGCCAAACAUGUCCCAAACCAGGCUGGUUUUGAGUCCAAAUACAGACUGAUGGUUUUUUUUUCCUUGCCUGGAGCAGGAGGGUGGGUAUUUAUGCACAAUCCUGCCCUGUUUUCCUGCUCUGCUACCUGUGCACUCACUGCCACCCCAAAUCCCGAGCUGGGAUCCCCCAGUGCCAAGACCUGCCCCAUGCUGGGUGCCCUUUGCUUUCCACGACCUUCACCAAGCCCCUCUACUGGGCUUUUUUCACAGCUAGGCUGGAUCUUGGAUACAUCGGGCUGGCUUUAUUUUUUUUUUUCCCUUUUACCCAAUAAUAAGCUUUUUUCAUCCAAGAUCGGAAGAAAAAAUAGUCAGGGAGGAGUGCUGACAUUCACAACCCAUAGAGAGCUUUGAGAAGAGCACCAGCCCCAAAGCUGUAAUUACUGCCUGCAUUUUUUGGCUAGGGAUCAGCUGCUAAAUUGGUUGUAAGGCACGGAAACGGCAGUUACACCUUUCAGCGGAAAAAAUGUGGUUUAGUGGAGAAACGUGCACGGGAAACCUCCCCAAAACUGCAGUCCCCAUACAACACCCCACUGUUACAGGUUUUGCAUUUGGGAGUUUAAAACAACCCUCACCUCCAGGUGAGCUGAGCUCAGAAUGACAAGACCUUCUGCAUCAACAGAGUAAAUUGGGGAUUUUUCCCUUGAUCUGUCAGUUAAAUCAAAAAUACCCUCCUGGAUGCAGGACACGAGCAAGAGGGAGGCAGGAGCAUGUGCUAUUUUGAGGUUUGAUAUAAAAUAGAUACCCUUGGCUCCAGCAUUUCUCCAUAGCCCAGCCCACUGGAGCUGCAGGUACUUUCGUAUGCAUACAAAACAUUCUAAAAUGGAAAAUAUUCACAGCUGCUCUCGCUGUUUUGACAGGGGGGAAGGAAUCGCGGGGCAUGUUAAGGAGAUAUUAAAAGCUGUGGUUUGAAGCUCCUAAAGCAUUUACUCAGCGGGAGAGCCAGAGAAAGAAGUUUAGAAGUUAACUGCAUACUCGUGUGCCUUUGCUCUGUCCUUCUUAAAAUUCACCUCUCCUAUCUGCUUCUAAUUUAAACAAGCAGAGCCCUCCAGGAACUGGAAAAUCCAGAUUUGCAGCAUCUCUCAGGGAAAGACGAUUUCCUACGUGCUCCCCCCCAGCGCGAGGGUCCUGCUGAAGGUUAAACUCAGCAAAACAUGGAUUUCACCACCUCUGCCAGCACUGAGUGCUCAUCCCCACACUGCGCCCUGGCCUGCUUCACCUUCCCUGCCUGAAAACAGGGUAAACCCAUCCACCUCCCCGGGGUACAUUAGGGUGGCUUAAAAUUAAACACUCACCAAUGUAUUUUCAAAUCCCUUCAUGAAAGGCGUGAGAAGCGCUGGGUGUUAACAGAAUAGAUCCUUCACCUUUUAACAGCUGUUAAUUGCCAUUAAAACCAAACCUGCACAGCUUUAUUGGAGCAGCAUCUGAGUUUCCGUGUCGCAUGCCGCGCCUUGCAAAGCCCUGGGUCGUGCCCUCCUGCACGGACGAGCUGUGGUGGAUAAAUCCUGGCUCACUGGUGGUUAUCUUGCACUUUGGGGCCUUUUGGAGGGUUUCCUGGUGCCAGGUUUUAUCCCUGUGCUGUCCUGCGAGUCGCUGCAGCAGUUGCAAGGAGCUCAAUGCACCUGCCCUCGACUUGCAGCGGGAAAGAAGAUGGGAUGCAAGACGUGUUCCCAAAAAUACCCCGAGGAAGCAAGCAGGAGCCUGCCCUCGAGGAAUUGGGUCCCUGGGGCUGAAUCCAGCCCGCAGCUGCCAGCAAAAGCCCGUGCUGGGUGCCACAGGGCUGGGAACAGCUCUCUGGGACCAAGGUGGGGUAAAUCAACAGGCAGGGCUGGGAAAAGGCGGCCAGCACUGCUCCCCCUCUCCCAUCCACCGUGCUGGGGGGUCCCUUCCCUGCUGCUUUUGGGGUUCAUUGACCUGAUCCCUUCCGUGGCAUCCCCCAAUCACCCUGCAGCCAAGAUCUGAGUGCCAGGCAGGGGGGAAACCCUUGGGAAAGCUGUGGCAGGAGCUGUCUGUGAAGCUGCUGGCUCCUCACAUCCCUCACAGGUGCUUUGUGCGCUCCCAAACAUCCAGACCCACCUGGGGGUGCCCCGUGCCGCCAAACUGGGGGUGCUGAAACACACGAGGUGCGUUCAGCAGGGCUCCAUCACUCUGAGCAUCUUGCCAGACCCCAGAGUUUCCUCUCCCCUGCAUCCAGCACAAGGAGAGGAUGCCCAGGGCUGGCUCCCAGGGCUACCCCAUCCCUGUUCCCAUCGCCCAGCCCUCUGCGUGGGGGAAGGGGAGGUUGGACAAGACGAGCCCUUUCUGCUCCACAAAGCUCGUCAGCCAGCAGCGCUGGGUUUGUAAUUAUUAUUUGCUUAAAGACGAGCCGAGCAGCUAUAGACAAAAAAGUCCCCUCUUGUCGGAGCUGGAAUUUGAUGUCCUAACGACUGUUUUUGUACCGCGCCUGUUAGAGGAAAGAGCUCGGCAGGAGGGGGAAAGAGAGAUUUAAUUAUAGAGCUGCAUUGUGAUUUUGCACACAUAGCUGGCUGUUGUAAUCAGGUUACAAGUGUAUCUGAUUUUCUUCCCUCCCCUCCCUCUUCCUCCUCUUUCUCUUUCUUUUCUUUUUUUUUUUUCUUCCCCCUUUUUCCUUUCAGCGGUCCAAAUUAGUUGCUUAUGUUUGGGUGUUGCAGAGAUGAGCUGUUACUUGCCUUCAGUGAAGAUCUUGAUCUAGGGAACAGUGUUUCCAAAGAACCUCGGCAGCUCUUUGCCAAAGGGAGGCAAAGAUUCCCAGCUCCAGCAGAAACCCAUGAGGGUGUGCUGGGCAUUCGCAUCCCACCCUCCCAGGACUCCCUUCCCACUAUCUAAUUAACGGGAGACACCUAUAGAUAUGUGUGUGUGUGUGUGUGUGUGUAUAUAUAUAUAUAUAUACACAUAUAUAUCCUCCUCCAUGCUCCCCAUCAAAUUCCUUCACAUCCAGGAUUCCCUCAAUAAAUUGAUGCACUUGAAGAAGAGGAGGAACCCAAUUUCACUUACCUGGGGCAGGAGAAGAGAAAGAGAGGAAAUAAGGGAAACAAGAACCUUUUUAAAAGAAACUUAAUAUUUUCCCUAUCUGAGGCAAGUGAUGCCGCACUGAGAUUGGGGGCUGUUGUUGGGUUCAUUUAGGAAUCCAUUGUUGUCCAUGUGAAUUCUUUUUUACAUUUCAAAUAACAGGAUUAUUUCCCCAGGGGGUAAUAUCCUGUAAUUUGAACACAAUAAUGGGAAUAAAUUACUUACUUAGAACUAA